GAUGGACGCUGGCGGCGUGCCUAAUACAUGCAGGUCGAGCGAACGGACGAGAAGCUUGCUUCUCUGAUGUUAGCGGCGGACGGGUGAGUAACACGUGGAUAACCUACCUAUAAGACUGGGAUAACUUCGGGAAACCGGAGCUAAUACCGGAUGAUAUUUUGAACCGCAUGGUUCAAAAGUGAAAGACGGUCUUGCUGUCACUUAUAGAUGGAUCCGCGCUGCAUUAGCUAGUUGGUAAGGUAACGGCUUACCAAGGCAACGAUGCAUAGCCGACCUGAGAGGGUGAUCGGCCACACUGGAACUGAGACACGGUCCAGACUCCUACGGGAGGCAGCAGUAGGGAAUCUUCCGCAAUGGGCGAAAGCCUGACGGAGCAACGCCGCGUGAGUGAUGAAGGUCUUCGGAUCGUAAAACUCUGUUAUUAGGGAAGAACAUAUGUGUAAGUAACUGUGCACAUCUUGACGGUACCUAAUCAGAAAGCCACGGCUAACUACGUG
rnacentral:rRNA from 1 species